rnacentral:rRNA from 1 species
GAACGCUGGCGGCGUGCUUAACACAUGCAAGUCGAACGCGAACGGGGCUUCGGCCCCAAGUAGAGUGGCGCACGGGUGAGUAACGCGUGGACAAUCUGCCCUUAUGACUGGAAUAACAGUUGGGAACGGCUGCUAAUACCGGAUACGCUCAGGAAGAACUUUUUGAGGAAAGGCGGCCUCUGCUUGCAAGCUGUCGCAUAAGGAUGAGUCCGCGUCCCAUUAGCUAGUUGGCGGGUAACGGCCCACCAAGGCAACGAUGGGUAGCCGAUUUGAGAGGAUGAUCGGCCACACUGGGACUGAAACACGGCCCAGACUCCUACGGGAGGCAGCAGUGGGGAAUAUUGCGCAAUGGGCGAAAGCCUGACGCAGCGACGCCGCGUGAGGGAUGGAAAGGUUUUCGGAUCGUAAACCUCUGUCAGAAGGGAAGAAACUGCCGUGCUCUAAUCAUCAUGGCAUUGACGGUACCUUCAAAGGAAGCACCGGCUAACUCCGUGCCAGCCGCCGC